rnacentral:lncRNA from 10 species
CGCGGUGGAGGCCGGGCGCGAGAGCAGGUGCUGCCCGGCCGUGCGAGGGUGGGGGUGGUGCAGUCGGCUGCCUCGGGGACGCGGGGUACAGGGGACCCACCGCCACCACUGCUGCUCUCACAGCUGCUCCUGCUGCCGCCUCUUGCGCCUCCCCACUGCAGCCCACAUGAUAGCAGCGGCCCCUCCGGAUGGCCUGCCGCUGCCAUCAGCAAGGCUACCAUAAGCCAUGAAUCAAUGACCAGUAUGGUGUCAUUUCUCACAAGCCAGAAUAGAUGGGUCCAGAAAUC